CAGUCGCCGCGGGAAAACGUAGGGAGCGAGCGUUGUCCGGAAUUACUGGGCGUAAAGAGCUCGUAGGCGGGACCGUAAGUCCAAGAGGAAAUCUCAAGGCUCAACUUUGGGGCUUUCUUGGAUACUGCGGUUCUUGAGGAUAUCAGAGGAAAGUAGAAUUCCCGGUGUAGCGGUGAAAUGCGUAGAUAUCGGGAGGAAUACCAGUGGCGAAGGCGACUUUCUGGGAUAUUCCUGACGCUGAGGAGCGAAAGCGUGGGGAGCAAACGGGAUUAGAUACCCCCGUAGUCCCUGUCUCUUAUAC
rnacentral:rRNA from 1 species